CAAUAGCGUAUACUAAAGUUGUUGCGAUUAAAAAGCUCGUAGUUGGAUCUCAGGCAUGGGCGCACGGUCCGCCUCGCGGCGGUCACUGUGUGUUUUGUUUCCCAUCCUACGCUUCCCGGUUAUCAGCCCAUGGUGCUCUUCACUGAGCGUUUUGGGUGGCCGGAACGUUUACUUUGAAGAAAUUAGAGUGUUCAAAGCAGGCACGUCGCCUGAAUAAUGGUGCAUGGAAUAAUGGAAUAGGACCUCGGUUCUAUUUUGCUGGUUUUCGGAACACGAGGUAAUGAUUAAGAGGGACAGACGGGGGCAUCCGUAUUGCGGUGUUAGAGGUGAAAUUCUUGGAUCAUCGCAAGACGAACAACUGCGAAAGCAUUUGCCAAGCAUGUUUUCAUUAG
rnacentral:rRNA from 1 species